UACGGAGGGUGCGAGCGUUAUCCGGAAUUACUGGGUUUAAAGGGCGCGUAGGCGGCUAUGUAAGUCAGGAGUGAAAGUUUGCGGCUCAACCGUAAAAUUGCUUUUGAUACUGCAUGGCUGGAAUCAGGAUGAGGUCAGCGGAAUGUGGCAUGUAGCGGUGAAAUGCAUAGAUAUGCCAUAGAACACCAAUUGCGAAGGCAGGUUACUGGUAAUGGAUUGACGCUGAUGGACGAAAGCGUGGGGAGCGAACAGG
rnacentral:rRNA from 1 species